rnacentral:rRNA from 1 species
GAUGAACGCUGGCGGCGUGCCUAAUACAUGCAAGUCGAGCGAACAGACGAGGAGCUUGCUUCUCUGACGUUAGCGGCGGACGGGUGAGUAACACGUGGAUAACCUACCUAUAAGACUGGGAUAACUUCGGGAAACCGGAGCUAAUACCGGAUAAUAUAUUGAACCGCAUGGUUCAAUAGUGAAAGACGGUUUUGCUGUCACUGAUAGAUGGAUCCGCGCCGCAUUAGCUAGUUGGUAAGGUAACGGCUUACCAAGGCGACGAUGCGUAGCCGACCUGAGAGGGUGACCGGCCACACUGGAACUGAGACACGGUCCAGACUCCUACGGGAGGCAGCAGUAGGGAAUCUUCCGCAAUGGGCGAAAGCCUGACGGAGCAACGCCGCGUGAGUGAUGAAGGUCUUCGGAUCGUAAAACUCUGUUAUUAGGGAAGAACAAAUGUGUAAGUAACUAUGCACGUCUUGACGGUACCUAAUCAGAAAGCCACGGCUAACUACGUG